rnacentral:lncRNA from 1 species
UACCAGUUGGGGUUUUCAUCAAGAAGACUCAUAUCAUUUGAAUCACGACUUCCACUAACAUUUGUGGCAGGAAUGGAGGAUAUAGAAACCGGCUUCUUAACUAAAGUCAAUUUCAUGAAACUUCCUACAUUCUCAUUCUUAGAGUUUUCUCUUCAAAUGAGAGAUUAACACCUGUUGGGGUCUUGAAGUCUACCUCUGAUCUAGUAAGACUACGAAUAUGCAUGAAAAUUGCAGUUGAAUCCAUUGUAACAUCAUGAUUAUCAUCUAAGGCUGCAGAGUCAGACAACUGGCCUUGCCUUAUAAAACUGGUAUAUCACUCACUCAACAUACUUUCAAGUUUAAUGUUACAAAAAAUAAUUUCUCUUACAAAUCAUAAUGUUACAAAAAGGUCAAGUCUUGUCGGCAUCAAACACUCUCUAAUAAAAAUUUUCUUAGACUAAUCGGUUGUAUAAAACCAGAAUUCAGCACCGAAAGCUUAAAUGAGAUGAGAAAAAGAGUGGCAGUACAUGACAAGUAAUGAACAUCUUCUUAAGUUCCAUAAAGUCAAAUACAAGAUUAACGGGGUGAAAGAAAUUGAAAAACGUGAGGGAUAACUCAAAACUGUUGAAUUGUAGCCAUUCAAAUACUGAAAGAAAUCAUAAAGCUAAAGGAAAACAUAAAAUUUAUAGUUACAUGUCAAAAGAAAAUCUACAGUAUCUACCUACAUAGCCUUCUCCAAGAUUAUAUUGCACCAAAAUCAAAAGAUUGAUGAUACAUAAUAUGAUUUCGAGAAAACCAUAAGGUUUAUUUGGGUAGAUUUUAAUGAGCUUGAAAAGGGGAAACGGGAAAAAGUUUGAGUGGAAAGGGCAAAAGGGUCUGGGUCGGCUAUUCAAUUGCAAUUAACGGGUAAUUGAUAACGAUGUCAAUGCCGGUGAAAUCUGGAAACGAGAUGGG